AAUGGUGCCUUGGUUUGAUCAUAGUUCCAUAACAAUAUAGCAUUACCACCACCAUUCGUGAGUUCUAUACGUCAAAAACCAACACACCCAGAAAUCCCAAACAAACAAAGAAAAGAAAAGUCCCAAAGCACCGUUACAUCGAAAAAGAACCAUUUCCUCACUAUUACAUUCGCACCUUUUCAAUUUUUCAAACCAUAGCAAAAUAAGCCAUGGCUAGUAGUAGUCACCCCCGACCCUCAAACACAUUUUCCUCUCUCUCUAAACGCUGGCGCGAAGAUCUCCGUCUCAUGCGCGACCGUGCUAACUCUUUCACUAUCAACAGCCUCCCUUCAACCACCUUCGACGACGUCGAUUUCGUCAAAAAUUUGCGCCCUAAACUUUCGGAGUUUCCUAAGAGGACACCCAAAUCCAGCAUUCGUAUCAAUCUCUCCGCCAUAAGGGAUGCAAUUGUGUCGGAGGUUGAAGAGGAUAUGGAUGGAAUUUUAGGGUUUGGUGAGGGUAAUAAGAGGUUUAGUUGUAGUGAGUUUUGGAAUGGUGAUGAACAAUGUUAUACGGAUUGGGAACCGAUUCAAGCUUUUAAGAAACAGUUUCGGAAAAAUACCGAGUUUCUGGAGAAAUUGAAAUUGAGUUUGAAGUCAAUGUGCCAGGAGCCUCAAGAUUCAAAGGAAGUUCGCCCAUUGGAUGCGUCUGAACUUCUUGCGUAUUUUGUUAGACAGUCUGGACCAUUUUUGGAUCAACUUGGAGUCAAAAGAGAUAUAUGUGACAAGAUUGUGGAAGGCUUGUAUAGCAAGCGUAAGAACAAACAACUACUUCACUCCUUUUCUGCGGAAGAAUCUUCUGUUCUUGGGAAUGGUAAUGUAAAUGAUGAAUUGGAUUUGCGUAUAGCAAGUGUUCUUCAGAGUACAGGGCACCGGUAUGAUGGUGGAUUCUGGACAGACCAGGCAAAGCACGACCUGUCGGACAAUCAGAGGCAUGUUGCAAUAGUCACAACUGCUAGUCUUCCUUGGAUGACGGGAACUUCUGUAAAUCCAUUAUUUCGAGCUGCUUAUCUAUCACAAUCAUCAAAGCAGAAAGUUACUCUGGUAAUUCCAUGGCUUUGUAGAUCAGAUCAAGAGCGAGUUUAUCCCAGCAAUAUCUCUUUUACUUCACCCGAAGAACAGGAGGUUUAUAUACGUAAUUGGCUCGAGGAAAGAAUUGGUUUUGAAGCAGUAUUCAAAAUCUCCUUUUAUCCUGCUAAGUUUUCCAAAGAAAGGCGAAGUAUAAUAGCUGCUGGCGAUAUUUCUCAAUUUAUACCAUCCAGGGAUGCUGAUAUCGCUAUUUUGGAAGAACCAGAACAUUUGAAUUGGUACCAUCAUGGUAAAAACUGGACAAAGAAAUUCAACCAUGUUAUUGGGGUUGUCCAUACAAAUUAUUUAGAAUAUAUCAAGAGGGAGAAAAAUGGGGCCCUCCAAGCAUUCUUUGUGAAACAUAUAAACAACUGGGUUACAAGAGCAUACUGCCACAAGGUUAUCCGUCUUUCAUCUGCAACUCAGGAUUUACCCAAGUCUGUAAUUUGCAAUGUUCAUGGUGUGAGUCCUAAGUUCUUAAAAAUUGGUGAAAAGAUCGAUGCCGACAGAGAGCUUGGACAGAAGCCGUUCACAAAAGGGGCGUAUUUCUUGGGAAAGAUGGUAUGGGCAAAGGGAUAUAAGGAAUUAAUUAGUUUAUUAGCAAAGCAUAAGAAUGACCUUGAUGGUUUCAAGCUUGAUGUAUUUGGUAAUGGAGAGGAUGCUAAUGAAGUUCAGAGUACGGCUAAAUCGUUGGAUUUGAAUAUCAACUUUCAGAAAGGAAGGGAUCAUGCAGAGAAUUCUCUUCAUGGGUACAAAGUUUUCAUAAACCCUAGUGUUAGUGACGUGCUCUGCACAGCUACAGCCGAGGCACUUGCCAUGGGAAAGUUCGUUGUUUGUGCUGACCAUCCAUCAAAUGAGUUCUUCAGAUCAUUCCCAAACUGUUUGACUUACAAGACAUCCGAAGACUUUGUUGCAAAAGUUAAGGAAGCGUUGGAAAAUGAGCCACGUCUUCUUACACCGGAGCAAAGAUAUCAGCUUUCUUGGGACGCUGCUACUCAAAGAUUUAUGGAAUAUUCCGAGCUCGACAGAGUGGUGAACGGCGAAAACAGUGCUGCAAAAUCAAAUAACAGUGGAAAGCUCAUUCGUAAUUCACUUUCAAUGCCUAAUCUCACAGAACUAGUAGACGGAGGGUUAGCAUUCGCUCACUACUGUAUCACGGGGAACGAAUUCCUUCGAUUAUGUACCGGAGCAAUUCCUGGGACACGUGACUAUAACAAGCAGCACUGUGAAGACCUUCAACUCUCGCCGCCACAGGUAGAAAAUCCUAUCUAUGGUUGGUGAAGAUUGAAUAGUUUUAAAUUAUUGGGUCAAUAUCUGUGACGCCAGGUAUUCCAAAAAGCACGACAAAUGCCGUCAUUUCACUGUUAAUUUCUUCGUCUUUUGCCUCCACAGGUUGAAAAUCCUAUCUAUAUCUGAUGAAUAUCAAAGCAGUUUAAUUACAGGAGUAAUAUUUGUGACACUUGACUAUUGACUAGAAGAACUGUAAAUACCUUCAUAUCAAAUCUCUACAGGUAAAAACUUAUUUCAUGGGAUGGUGAAUGAAUUUCCCGGUCCGAAUUGAAUUUAUUGUAAUUAGGGGCUGACCUAACUCGGCCCAUUUUUUGGUUAUGUAUUUUAGUUAGUAAAAUAUAGUAAUUUAAUCCUUCCACCACAUGAUUUGUGGGAGAUGAAUAUCUUAUCUUGAAUAUGCAUUUCUUGCAUGGAAGAAAAGUUAAGUUAUGACAACCUAUAGUACUGGACUAUUAUGUGUUAGAAAUUUAGACAGAAGUUUCUCAUAGGACAAGUGGUUGGUACACAGUGUAUGCCGGUGUUGUAAACUACAUGGUACGCUGUUCGAUUCCUACUCAUAAAAAGAGGUCAAUGUUUGAGUUAAUGAUGGAGCCAUGGAGGGAGGGUGAGAGAUGGAAAAAUAUGCAUUCUAUGCUUGGUUGCAAAAUUAAAAUUUGAAGAAAAACUUCGACAUCUGACUCUACAUGUAUGAAAAUUCAUUAGUUGGGGGAGACAAUCUUUACAUAUGAUCAAAUUACUCGAACAAAUUAGUUUGAGACCAUGGCUACAUAUGAUCAAAGUUCUCGAACAAA